GACAGAGGCCCCAAGCGUUAGGCGGAAUCACUGGGCUUAAAGCGUGUGUAGGCGGACGCCUAAGUGUCUUGUGAAAUCCCACGGCUCACCCGUGGAACUGCUGGGCAUACUGGGCGUCUUGGGCCAACUAGGGGCAGCCGGAACAAGCGGUGGAGCGGUGAAAUGCGUAGAUAUCGGAAGGAACACCAGUGGCGAAAGCGGCUUCCUGGUCCAGCACCGACGUUCAGGCACGAAAGCGUGGGGAGCAAACAGG
rnacentral:rRNA from 1 species